CCCUUAGAUGUUCUGGGCCGCACGCGCGCUACACUGACGAAUGCAACGAGCUUAUAACCUUGGCCGAUAGGCCUGGGUAAUCUUUGAACGCCGGUCGUGAUGGGGAUAGAUCCUUGCAAUUUUUGAUCUUCAACGAGGAAUUCCUAGUAAAUGCGAGUCAUCAUCUCGCGUUGAUUACGUCCCUGCCCUUUGUACACACCGCCCGUCGCACCUACCGAUUGAAUGGUCCGGUGAAGCCUCGGGAUUGCGAAUGCUUCGUGCGGACGCGAGAACUUGGCUAAACCUUACCAUUUAGAGGAAGGUGAAGUCGUAACA
rnacentral:rRNA from 1 species